rnacentral:lncRNA from 1 species
CUUAAGCCAAUGCACAUUUAUAGAACAAUUCCAUGUGAUCCUGAGGAAGGCGGACUUCAGGCGGAGGGCAGUGCUGAAAAGUUGUAAUCUCGAGAGAGAGGACUCUUCCCUCUUGCUGCUCUUCAUGCUAAGAGGACACUGGUGGCCUCUGAAAACAUUCUGACGGACACUGGGCACCCUGAGUCACCAUGGGCAAUGAGAACAGCACCUUGGACCACCAGAGGACUUCAUCAGCUCAGAGUCCAAGAUCCAUGCAGCCACCUGGGGAAAAGAAGCACGGAGAUUCUCCCAGAAGCCCUGACGGUGGGGACUUGUCCAGGUAGGGAGCCGGCUAGGAGGGUGGACACAGCCCAAGGCAUGGCCAGCUCACUGCCUGCUUCAGCAUUUGCUUUGCUCGAUUGGCUUGGGGAAAUUUACCAUUAAAUACAUGAGAUGAUUCUAAGUGUUGAGAUGUUGAAGCAAUGGUUCUUACCCCUCUGUGUGACUGACUAAGCUUGCAAUGAUUGGAAAAUUCAUAGGGUUUUUUUCUGCCCUAAGAUUAAAUUAGUAAUUAUAGACUUCCAUUACAGCAGCACUCCAGACUGUUUAACUUCAUAGUCAACUGAAAAUGGGAAAGAUCAAGGCUUCCAAGGGGCUUAAUCUGAGGCCAAGUGGGGUGUGUGUUCCAGAGAGCAGGCUAUGUUGGCACUGGACCGUGAAACAGAGGAUUCAGACAGCAGUUCCUCAAGCCAAGGAGCCUGGUGGAUUAAUUCCAGAAGUCAACAAGACCACACGGUGGCAAUGGAACAUGGCCAGCACAGAUGUGGCUCAUUCAUCAGUGGUUCCUCAUUAUGGUCCACAGCCAGGCCCUGGUUUCCUGCCAUGGCUCCCUGCAGGAACUCUCUCCGCAAAGAAUCACCUCUCAUUGGCAUGCAAAUUGAGAAUAAAAGAAGUGCCUUCCAAGAACAAGCCUAAAGAAGCAACUUCCUGUUCACAAUUGAAAACAGGAUUGUCCUCAAUAAAUGUGUACAUGUCCACAGUGCAAGGCCCUGUGCCUAGUAACUCAGACACUAUUGAGAACAGGCGGCCUCCCUCCUCUCCAGGGAUUUGCGCUGAGUCUGUCCUGAAGUUGAGAUGUUUGUAGGAGAGAUGGGGCACAGCUCCUGAGUCAUGCCAGCCUUAGCAUUAACCAAAGAUAACAAUAGCAUUUAAUGUUCAUUCUGCAUCUGGGUGCCAGACAUCAUGACAAAUGUUAUAUGUGUAC